GAUGAACGCUGGCGGCGUGCCUAAUACAUGCAAGUCGAGCGAACAGACGAGGAGCUUGCUCCUCUGACGUUAGCGGCGGACGGGUGAGUAACACGUGGAUAACCUACCUAUAAGACUGGGAUAACUUCGGGAAACCGGAGCUAAUACCGGAUAAUAUAUUGAACCGCAUGGUUCAAUAGUGAAAGACGGUUUUGCUGUCACUUAUAGAUGGAUCCGCGCCGCAUUAGCUAGUUGGUAAGGUAACGGCUUACCAAGGCAACGAUGCGUAGCCGACCUGAGAGGGUGAUCGGCCACACUGGAACUGAGACACGGUCCAGACUCCUACGGGAGGAAGCAGUAGGGAAUCUUACGCGAUGGGCGAAAGCCUGACGGAGCGACGCCGCGUGAGUGAUGAAGGUCUUCGGAUCGUAGAACUCUGUUAUUAGGGAAGAACAAAUGUGUAAGUAACUAUGCACGUAUUGACGGUACCUAAACAGAAAGCCACGGCUAACUACGUG
rnacentral:rRNA from 1 species